UACAGAGGUCUCAAGCGUUGUCCGGAUUUAUUGGCGUAAAGAGCGUGUAGGCGGCCAGGUAGGUCUGCUGUGAAACUCGAGGCUCAACCUCGAGAUGUCGGCGGAAACCAUCUGGCUAGAGUCCGGAAGAGGAGAGUGGGAAUUCCUGGUGUAGCGGUGAAAUGCGCAGAUAUCAGGAAGAACAACCCGUGGCGAAGGCGGCUCUCUGGGACGGUACUGACGCU
rnacentral:rRNA from 1 species